AUGACCGUAAUAGAUUUCAUAGAUCUGAGUGAUCAUGAUAUUAUUGACUUGAGCAGCAGCGAUGACGAGGCUGUUCAGGAGGAUCAGAUUGCAACUCAGCACCGGGCGGCGUCGCUUGAUAAGCAGGAUGUGUUUGUCCUAGCUGGUGAAGGAAGCCGAGCGGUGCAGGCCGUGUUUGUUGCAGCUGGUGAAGGAAGUCAAGAUGAGCAGGCCGUGUUUGUUGCAGCCAGUGAAGGAAGUCAAGAUAGGCAGGCUAUGUUUGUUGCAGCUAGUGAAGGAAGGCAAGAGGCUUCUGAGCCCGGACAUGCUUUGGAAGCUACCGCAUCGUCCAUGAUUAUGGAGGAAGCACCUCUUGUUGCAGCUACUAAAGGAAGUCAAGAUGUGCAUCCUGUGUUUGUUGCAGCUAGUGAAGGAAGGCAAGAGACUACUGAGUCCGGACAUGCUUUGGAAGCAACCGCCAAGUCAGUGCGUGUGAAGGCGAAAUAUCAUAAGAAGAACUACCAUACCGGCACUCCUAGGAAAAGUCCUAGGCUUAUACAGAUGGGUGAAUGUUGUACCAGUCCUGUGGAAGAGCCAGCAGCCGAUUACAAGAGGUCUCGCAUGCUCGGGCCAGCAGAAGAAUUAGCUGCCUCUACCGACUCAGCUGAAACGGCUGUCCUCACUAUGCCACAUGUUGGAUCAGCGAGUUGUCUUCGUUCUCCAACAUCAGCGAUAUUCGCCGGCCCGACUUUCAUCACUCCGAAAGCUCAGACUUCUGAAGGUGGCGACGCAAAGUCAGUGAGUGUGAAGACAAAAUAUCGUAAGAACUACCAUACCAACACUCCUAGGAGAAGUCCUAGGCUCAUACAGAUGGGUGGAUGUUGUACCAGUCCUGUGGAAGAGCCAACAGCCGACCACAAGAGGUCUCGCACGCUCGGGCCAGCAGAAGAAUCAGUUGCCUCUAUCGACUCAGCUGAAACGGUUGUCCUCGCUCUGCCACAUGCUGGAUCUACGAAUUGUCUUCGCUCUCCAACAUCAGCGACAUUCCCCAGCCUGAUUUCCACCAGUCCUACAGCUGUGACUUCUGAAGGUGGCGAUGCAAAGCUGGUGAGAGUGAAGGCGAAACAUCCUGAGAGGAACUACCAUAUCUUGUCCUUGGUUAGGGAAAAAUCACCUCUUGGUCCGACCUCCACCAGUCCGAAGGCUCUCUUCUCAGAAGAUGGCGACGCAAAGCUGGUGACCGGGAAGGUGAAACGUCGUAGGAAGAACUGUCGACCCUGCAAACUAACUCCUUAG
rnacentral:rRNA from 1 species